AGAGGUAUGACUGUAUUAAAAAGCUGACUAAUUAUCCUGAAGGUUAUAUGGGAAAAUCAGAGAGAACUGAAUCAUGUGCCAUUAGCAACUGAACCCCCAAUUUUCUGUUUAAAAAAAAAGGUUGAUGCAUAUUGUCGCUCAUAAAACCAGCAACAGAUCUGGGUUAAAAUCGGACUGCUGCUGCAAAGGAGAUUGACUGGAGAACCACAACCACACCAGUGUAUGGGUGACAUUAAACAUCAGAGCAUCGGUAGCACUGGGAAGGCGGGGAAGCUUUUUUUUGGCUUUGCCGUGCCCGGGAGGGACAGACUGGUCUCAUGCCCUGGGUUGCGCGUAGCUGGAAAGCGGCCUUGCCUUACUGCCUGCUGAAAUAAGUCACUUGCAGUGGUUUGUCCUAAUACAUACAAGUCAAAUUCCAGAGUACAAAUGGAAAAGACACAGAGUUCAUGGUCCUGGGGGCUUGAAAUCCCCUGCACAGUUGGUGAAACUGAGACCUCUUUUAGGUCUAAAGUUUUGUUAACUUAUUUCCUAAAUUCAAGGUACUUCACAGAACGUGGCUUCCCGCAGGACGCAGGUUUGAAGGGUUCAGGUUCAUGAGGCAAGGGACGGUUGGGAAGGGCUGAUCCUGAACUCGGUAGAGCUGAUAAAACGCCCGCAUCGACUCCACAAACGUGAACUCAGACUGCACGGGAAUGGGAGUUGGGGAUUGGACUGAGGGGGCCUGUUUGCAUUUGCCUGCGGUUUCGCUGAGAGCACCGUGCUUGUUUCGCGAGCCAAGGAUGAUAUCUGCUGUCUGCAAGGCAAUGCCUCCCGGUUCCCACCGAGCUGCCAGAGCUGCGGGAGCCAGAACUGGCCGUCCUCCAGAGGCGAGCUACCGACGCUGCCGUGGAGCGGCAGCCUCCCGCGCCCGGCUUGGCACUCUCUGUCCCGCUGCUGCGCGCUGCUCUAGAAAACCUUCCGAAGAAGAGAGUUUUUAAAAAAGAAACGACGCUUCCUAUUAGGAAUGGGAACAGGUGUUGACCUCGGACGCCGCGUCUGCUUCGGGUAUCCUGGGUGCUCUGCGGUGCCUUAGGCGAAAGCAGCUUAGGCGCAUUUAUACCAAACGAACCCCGCUCCCCUCUGCCUAUUUUUUACCCGAGAUGAAGGGAAGCCUCGUUCUUUUCUCUUUCCCUGGAGGCCCUUCUUCCCAUCCCAGACACCGCACCACAACAUGGGAGACCAGGUGAAGGUUGUGCGCGCUCCCCAUGUUGUUGGUCUGCUUGAAACGUCACCAGAUGAUGAUGGAGGAACCGGGAGUCCGGAGAGACUUUGCAGGCAUUUCCCUGGGAGGUGUCAACCAAGAGGUGAAGGACUGGAGAGCCCUUUGGGCUCAGCUAGUAGUCCUGCUGUUAUCUUCUGGUGACCUUCUUCCUGUCCCCUUCCUUCUUUAUUGCUAAUUUAUUUUUGUAAACUGUUCGCCAGCAGCUCUCACUGAAGCACCUGGUCUCCUCCAGGCUGCUGCUUGCUCCUGGUUCCUUCAGUUCUUUGAGGCUGAGAGGAAAACCAGCUCCAAAGUAUGGAAUAGCAUGGUAUUUGGGGUGAUGGACAGGGUUUGGAUUUUCAGCUUUUUUAAUCCUUGCUUGUCUCCAGAUUUUAGGUGUGAGGGUACGUGCCCCCUGGACUUGUCUUAGGCCAGCUGGGUCAGAGGGAGCCAUGGGCUCUCCCUGUUUCUCAUGACAAUUGGGCAGUAAUCCAGAUUUUGGACGUAAGAGAGGCAGACUGCAGGGCUCAGUGUUUCAUAGCUGUCCAGGCAGGCUGCCUUUCAGUUUGCAUUCGCUCCCUGUAAGACAUUCUGGCACAGCUCUGUCUACAGCUAAUAUCCCCGAAGGGAUGGGGUGGGGUAGGAGGGGGAAGAGCGUGGCACACAGAAAUCUGCCUAAUGCUCCCCGCUAAAUACAAGCCAAGAAAGGCUCGUCUUCCUGAUGAUGGUGUAGCGGGCAGUUGCACAUAAAUGCGUGCUGUUAAAAUUCAUAUCUGUCUAUAAUUAAGUUGUGUCCCACGCUGACGUUGCCCACUCCUCUGCUCGGUUUAUGUACAGCAUUUAUUUAGUGUUUUUUAGUAAAUGGUGGUCUCAGUGCAGCUGGCGGUCACAAGAAACAGCAGAGAAGAAAGUUCUUCCCAUAGGAAAGCCACGGAUUAAAAAUAAUGACUCUCCUGGAAGAGGCAGUAGUUGAUGCUGAAACAUUUCAACUCUCUUCAUUUGCUAAUGUUGUAAAGUUGGCAGCUCUUUAAAUUGAUGACAGCCCUCUAAAUUCAUCAGGCUUUUUAUGUUUUUUAAAUAAGUAAUCCAUCAGAAUGACAAAGUACCUUUGGAAAGAAGAGCAUUGUGAUAUUCAGUUCAUCUAGAAGUUACAGAGAAAAACAUAGCCUAUCUGUUAAUUGUUCUACUUCAAUGUCUUUUGCUGAUAUUGAGAGCUUAGAAGAGCUCAAUAGUGAUUUCAAUUACUUGGGUAUAAAUCCAGAAAAUGACAGUGGAGUUAGUCCAGAUUUACAUAAGUAUAAAUGAGAUUUUAAGAAAUGUCUGCAUAGUUUCCUUUCAGGCUUUAGAUCUAAUUAUCUUAAUUAGCCUCUCAAUUCAAGGGUCUAAUUUCCGCCACGGUUAAUGAAUUGCACUUAUACUUGGUGACUGAAUUAUCUUGCCAUUUUUUUAGGGAAUAUUCUAAAGACUCCUAAUGAGAAAAAUAGCCUCAAAGUUCCCCGGCUUUGUUUUUCCAAGUAUAAAGACUAAAUAUAGUACGUGUUCUCCAGAAAAUGGGAGUGACAGGGAUUAGUAAUUCAUGAACGACGUGGCCCAUUUACAGUCCUACCAGCACAGAAUUCACCGUGGCAUGGAGAACAUCAAACAAAACAACUCGGUUGACUUUCAUGCAUUUAAAACAAUGAGGAAUAAAGGCUUAAUCCAGACUAAAACUGCAAGUGCUACCUGGGUUUAGUUAAUGCUGAUGAAAAUAUUGAGUAAUAGCUAAGAAAUAAGAUGAAAACUGAAUGUUAAAAGGCUGAAAAGUAAUGAAUAAAAGCCCCAAAGUAUUAGGAGUUGCGGUUGAAAAUGAAGUUGUGUUCUGAGAAGGCUGUCCUUUGCUCAGAGAAGUCUUUCAGAAAGUCCUCCCCAAACCCAUGGCUUGUAUUUGAUUGUCAGCGUUUUAAAUCCCUGCCAGCCCAUUUCCAGAGGCGGUACGUUGUCACCGUGAGCAGCCCUUCAAGUCUACGGUAUUUCUUAGCAGUUGAUCAUUUUCACGCGGUUUUCUUUUGAAAUAGAUCUCCGUGCUGGGUCGCUGGGUCCCCAGUUCCUCCAGCCUCCUUUAGGACGGGAUGCCCUUGCGUUUUAAGGUUGAUGUCCUGGGCGGUGGUGGAAAGGAGAGCAGAGCAGAGCUCCCGAGCAAGGUGCCAUAGUGGACGGUUGCCGGAGGGGCUUGUUGCGGAUGCUCCAAAGCCCCGGGCAGGUUCGGGACACCGGGGAAACGUUACCGUGUCACGCAGGGCUCGAGUGCCGCAACCGCCUUCACGCCUUGCUAUCCGUCUAGUGCUCCUGCAGUGCCAGCAAAGGAGCGGCAAGUUUCAAAUGUCCUGAAAUUACCAGGUAAGGUGCGGGAUCGAGUAACCUUUAAAUGACUGGCGUAUCUCCAGUUCUCGAGACGCGUACUGCAAGCGUGGGUUUUGCUGCGUUGCCGUAAAGUAACGCGGGAGCUUAAGCAGGGAUUAGUGCCCUUCCCGACAGAGGUAACGUGAAUUUUCCAACAAAAGCUCUCCUACUCACCGUCUUAAGAUAUUGCAUAUUGUAUCCUCAGAACUGGCCUUUUCCCUAAUUACCGCCUCGUUUUGUUCUCCUCAGCCAGCUUCUUAGAGUACAACCCGCUAUUUAAGCCUGCUUCCAUGCGUGACUUCAACCCGGUCUUUUUCUAAUGCCAUGCUUCUGGAAGAGGUGAAGUUGGUCCAGCUGCACCUCCAGUAGCUGUCAAUAGGAGAAGGUAUAAAUUAACCACAGCAGGCAUUUGCUGCCUGCUAUACUACAAAACGUCAGAUACUAUCUGGAAGCACUGCAUGCAAUUUUGCAGCAGUUCAGUAAACAGCGUACAUGGCUGCAGUGCUCCGAGUGAGUCAGAGCCCUGGAAAUGAGCUGUUACUAACGAGCAAGGUACAAACAAGGCCUUUCUUUACUCCACCAAAGCACAUAAAGCAACUUAUUGCUGGAAAUGCUUCUCUCUGCAAAAAGAG